GACGAACGCUGGCGGCGUGCCUAAUACAUGCAAGUAGGACGCAGUUGCGAACGGGUGAGUAACGCGUAGGUAACUACCUAUUAGAGGGGGGUAACUAUUGGAAACGAUAGCUAAUACCGCAUACUAGUAGAUGGACCUGCGUUGUAUUAGCUAGUAGGUAGGGUAAUGGCCUACCUAGGCAACGAUACAUUGCCGAGCUGAGAGGGUUGUCGGGCACAAUGGGACUGAGGAACGGCCCAGACUCCUACGGGAGGGAGCAGUAGGGAAUCUUUGGAAAUGGGGGGAAAGCUGACCGCACACAGCCGCGGGAGUGAAGAAGGUUUUUGGAUCGUAAAGCUCUGUUGUUAAGGAAGCGGUACUUACACAGAAAGCGACGGCUAACUACGUGCCAGCAGCCGCGGUAAUUC
rnacentral:rRNA from 1 species